rnacentral:lncRNA from 1 species
GCGUCAGUGUUCUGUGAAUGUGUUGGUAGGUGCGCUACACCUUUAUUCCAUUAUUUCAUGAAUAGGAAUUAGGAAACAGUGAGGUCGAUCGAAAUCAUCCGUCGUACCCGUCGUACCAGUAAUAACCCGACAACCUCGUGACAGACUUCAGUGAACUUUAACUAGCGUUAAUUCAUGAGAUAAAGCCGGAUAAAGUAAGACAAGAACUAGACGACAUUAAAUUUCACCUGGAGUUCUGAGAUUUCUCUGAUAUUUUGUACGGCCUAAUUCCACAAAGUCCGAUCCUAGUUCCAAUUUUUAAAAGUGCAACGUAUCAGUAGGCACGUUGGUUAACGUUUCUUCUAACUGUGAAGCUUGCUGUUGAGUAAGUUAUUUUACUGUCGUGGGAAACGUCGGGAAAAAUAAAUCGAAGAUGCUAGGAUUUGGAUACAUGCUGUUGGUGAUGCUCAUCGUGGCAACUAUCAGCAUUGCCGAAAACUCUCGCACUCACGAAGGCCUUUUGCCAAGUUCGGCAUUUCACCAUGCUGUGCCAAUUGGACAAGAAGCACUGGAUUUGAUCCCUGAAUUUUGAAACUCAGUCAAAAUUCAGUUCAAUGUCCACCCACAUUCUGUAUAAUAAUUUUUCUGUCCUGAAUUCCAUUGUCAGUUUUUCUUCUUUUGCUUUUAUUUUAAUUUGAUUGACAUUUCAAUUAAUUUUGAAGACAUCAUUUUACGACACAAAUUUAUCUUUAAAAAAGAAAUGUAACGUGCUAAAAUGAAUUUUCUAUGAGAAUUAUACCUGCCUCUGAUGUUCCAAUAUAGAAUCUUAAAUCGUA